GACGAACGCUGGCGGCGUGCUUAACACAUGCAAGUCGAACGAAGAGCGAUGGAAGCUUGCUUCUAUCAAUCUUAGUGGCGAACGGGUGAGUAACGCGUAAUCAACCUGCCCUUCAGAGGGGGACAACAGUUGGAAACGACUGCUAAUACCGCAUACGAUCUAAUCUCGGCAUCGAGGAUAGAUGAAAGGUGGCCUCUACAUGUAAGCUAUCACUGAAGGAGGGGAUUGCGUCUGAUUAGCUAGUUGGAGGGGUAACGGCCCACCAAGGCGAUGAUCAGUAGCCGGUCUGAGAGGAUGAACGGCCACAUUGGGACUGAGACACGGCCCAGACUCCUACGGGAGGCAGCAGUGGGGAAUCUUCCGCAAUGGAAGAAAGUCUGACGGAGCAACGCCGCGUGAGUGAUGACGGCCUUCGGGUUGUAAAGCUCUGUUAAUCGGGACGAAAGGCCUUCUUGCGAAUAGUGAGAAGGAUUGACGGUACCGGAAUAGAAAGCCACGGCUAACUACGUG
rnacentral:rRNA from 1 species